GACGAACGCUGGCGGCGUGCCUAAUACAUGCAAGUAGAACGCUGAAGGAGGAGCUUGCUUCUCCGGAUGAGUUGCGAAGGGGUGAGUAACGCGUAGGGAACCUGCCCGGUAGCGGCGGAUAACUAUUGGAAACGAUAGCUAAUACCGCAGAAGAGUAGAUGUUGCAUGACAUUUACUUAAAAGGUGCAAUUUCAUCACUACCAGAUGGACCUGCGUUGUAUUAGCUAGUUGGUGGUGUAACGGCUUACCAAGGAGACGAUACAUAGCCGACCUGAGAGGGGGGUCGGCCACCCUGGGACUGAGGCACGGCCCAAACUCCUACGGGAGGCAGCAGUAGGGGAUCUUCGGCAAUGGACGGAAGUCUGACCGAGCAACGCCGGGGGAGUGAAGAAGGUUUUCGGAUCGUAAAGCUCCGUUGUAAGGGAAGAACGAGUGUGAGAGUGGAAAGUUCACACUGUGACGGUAUCUUACCAGAAAGGGACGGCUAACUACGUG
rnacentral:rRNA from 1 species